UUAUCUUAUGGGAAUGGCGUCUCCCAGAGGGUAACUCCCUCAAACCGCCAGAUUAAUGAUGGCUGAUGACGCCUAUCUCUAU
rnacentral:ncRNA from 1 species